CACGUAGGGGGCAAGCGUUGUCCGGAUUCAUUGGGGCGUAAAGAGCUUGUAGGUGGUUUGUCGCGUCUGCUGUGAAAAUCCGAGGCUCAACCUCGGACUUGCAGUGGGUACGGGCAGACUAGGAGUGCGGUAGGGGAGACUGGAAUUCCUGGGUGUAGCGGUGAAAUGCGCAGAUAUCAGGAGGAACACCGGUGGCGAAGGCGGGUCUCUGGGCCGGUAACUGACGCUGGAGGAGCGAAAGCAUGGGGAGCGAACGG
rnacentral:rRNA from 1 species